rnacentral:rRNA from 31 species
AAAUUGAAGAGUUUGAUCAUGGCUCAGAUUGAACGCUGGCGGCAGGCCUAACACAUGCAAGUCGAACGGUAACAG